rnacentral:tRNA from 1 species
GGUAGAGUGACAGAGCGGCCGAUUGUGGCUCCCUGCUAAGGAGUUUAGUACGAAAGUGCUACGAGGGUUCGAAUCCCUCCUCUACCUCCA